UACAGAGGUCCCAAGCGUUGUUCGGAUUCACUGGGCGUAAAGGGUGCGUAGGUGGUUAGGUAAGUCCGAUGUGAAAUCUCCAGGCUCAACCUGGAAAUGGCAUUGGAUACUAUCUAGCUUGAGGAGUGGAGGGGGGACUGGAAUUCUCGGUGUAGCAGUGAAAUGCGUAGAUAUCGAGAGGAACACCAGUGGCGAAGGCGAGUCUCUGGACAUUUCCUGACGCUGAGGCACGAAAGCCAGGGGAGCAAACAGG
rnacentral:rRNA from 1 species